AAAUUGGUGGUUUAGUGGUAGAAUUCCCGCCUUCCAUGCAGGAGACCUAGGUUUGAUUCCCAGCCAAUGGA
rnacentral:tRNA from 1 species